UACGUAGGUGGCAAGUGUUGUCCGGAUUUAUUGGGUUUAAAGGGUGCGUAGGCGGCUUUGUAAGUCAGUGGUGAAAUAUGGCAGCUCAACUGUCAGGGUGCCAUUGAUACUGCGGAGCUUGAGUACAGAUGAGGUAGGCGGAAUUGACGGUGUAGCGGUGAAAUGCUUAGAUAUCGUCAAGAACACCGAUAGCGAAGGCAGCUUACUGGGCUGUAACUGACGCUGAGGCACGAAAAGUGUGGGGAUCAAACAGG
rnacentral:rRNA from 1 species